CGCUGGCGGCGUGCCUAAUACAUGCAAGUCGAACGGUCUUUCUAUGGAAGCUUGCUUCCACUGAGAAGAUAGUGGCGAACGGGUGAGUGACACGUGGGUAACCUGCCCAUAAGAGGGGGAUAACAUCCGGAAACGGGUGCUAAUACCGCAUAGUUUUUCUUGAUUGCAUGAUUGAGAAAGGAAAGACGGCCUUUGUGCUGUCGCUUAUGGAUGGACCCGCGGCGUAUUAGUUAGUUGGUGAGGUAACGGCUCACCAAGACGAUGAUACGUAGCCGACCUGAGAGGGUGAUCGGCCACAUUGGGACUGAGACACGGCCCAAACUCCUACGGGAGGCAGCAGUAGGGAAUCUUCCGCAAUGGACGAAAGUCUGACGGAGCAACGCCGCGUGAGUGAAGAAGGUUUUUCCGGAUCGUAAAACUCUGUUGUCAGAGAAGAACAAGUUGGAGAGUAACUGCUCCAGCCUUGACGGUAUCUGACCAGAAAGCCACGGCUAACUACGUGCCAGCCGCAGC
rnacentral:rRNA from 1 species